rnacentral:tRNA from 1 species
CAGGGAGACAACAAAAUGUUUAAUAUUAUUAUUUUGUCACCUUAGGUCGAUCGGUAUCUCACGUUCUUAACUUAUUAAGAAUUUCAUUUCCUAAGUUUUUCUAGGUCACACCCAUUAUUUUUCCUGGGCCAUUAGCUCAGGUGGUUAGAGCGCACCCCUGAUAAGGGUGAGGUCCCUGGUUCAAGUCCAGGAUGGCCCAUAUCUCUAUGUUGGGGGUAUAGCUCAGUUGGUAGAGCGCCUGCUUUGCAAGCAGGAUGUCAGCGGUUCGAGUCCGCUUACCUCCACUGAUUACCACCUCUUCCAUAAUCGGUAGAAAGGAAAUGUUUUGAGUUGUGAUCAAAUUCUGAACGAAUCUAGCUUCCUAAUGAAAUUAUUAAGAUGCUGGACUCAUUGAAUUAAUUUCAUUGUUUUCAGAGAACCUUGACAACUGCAUAGAUUAUUUUUUUAAAGGCAAUAAGCAUCUUUAAUGAUGCAGAUUUAUUAUUUAUGCGAAUGCAUUAAUAACGAUUCUAUUAAGCUGAUGCUUCAAAUUUGAAGUUAUU